GCACCCGUGGCCUACUGGAUAAGGCACUGGCCUCUUACGCCAGGGAUUGUGGGUUUAAAUCCCACCAGGAGUG
rnacentral:tRNA from 2 species